rnacentral:piRNA from 1 species
UUACAUGGAUGGUCUUCUGCACCUUUUCAG